rnacentral:tRNA from 1 species
GCCCAUGUGUCUCAGUUGGUAGAGCAUGGUGUUUGCAAUGCCAGGGUUGUGGGUUCGAUUCCCACGGGGGACC